GAGUUUGAUCAUGGCUCAGAAUCAACGCUGGCGGCGUGCCUAACACAUGCAAGUCGAACGAGAAAGUGGAGCAAUCCAUGAGUAAAGUGGGCGACCGGGUGAGUAACACGUGGCUAACCUACCCUCGAGUGGGGAAUAACGCCGGGAAACCGGCGCUAAUACCGCAUAACAUCGCGAGAUCAAAGCAGCAAUGCGCUUGAGGAGGGGGUCGCGGCCGAUUAGUUAGUUGGUAGGGUAAUGGCCUACCAAGACGAAGAUCGGUAGCCGGCCUGAGAGGGCGCACGGCCACACUGGAACUGAAACACGGUCCAGACUCCUACGGGAGGCAGCAGUGGGGAAUUUUGCGCAAUGGGGGAAACCCCUGACGCAGCAACGCCGCGUGGAGGAUGAAGUCCCUUGGGACGUAAACUCCUUUCGACCGGGACGAUAAAUGACGGUACCGGUGGAAGAAGCCCCGGCUAACUUCGUGCCAGCCGCCGCAGU
rnacentral:rRNA from 1 species